rnacentral:rRNA from 1 species
UACGUAGGGUGCGAGCGUUAAUCGGAAUUACUGGGCGUAAAGCGUGCGCAGGCGGUUCGUUAAGUUCGAUGUGAAAGCCCCGGGCUCAACCUGGGAACUGCAUUGGAAACUGGCGAGCUUGAAUGCGGCAGAGGGGGGUGGAAUUCCGCGUGUAGCAGUGAAAUGCGUAGAGAUGCGGAGGAACACCGAUGGCGAAGGCAGCCCCCUGGGCUAACACUGACGCUCAGGCACGAAAGCGUGGGGAGCAAACAGG